CCGAUGCAAACUGCGAAUACCGGAGAAUGUUAUCACGGGAGACACACGGCGGGUGCUAACGUCCGUCGUGAAGAGGGAAACAACCCAGACCGCCAGCUAAGGUCCCAAAGUCAUGGUUAAGUGGGAAACGAUGUGGGAAGGCCCAGACAGCCAGGAUGUUGGCUUAGAAGCAGCCAUCAUUUAAAGAAAGCGUAAUAGCUCACUGGUCGAGUCGGCCUGCGCGGAAGAUGUAACGGGGCUAAACCAUGCACCGAAGCUGCGGCAGCGACACUAUGUGUUGUUGGGUAGGGGAGCG
rnacentral:rRNA from 1 species